UCAUUUUGUGUUGUAUUGUCUUCAAGCAACAAGUUUAUUUUAAAAUAACAAACCACUAUCUCCCGUAGUUAUAAACAAACUCGGGAAAAUGAACCCAAUGGUUUUCCGUAUGCUAUUACUUCGUUUCAUAACCUCCUAUAUUUGUUAUUGGAUGGUAGUUAUUUUCUACGGGAGAUACCGGGAUGUGCAGUCAGGACGAUACUUGCCGUAGGAUUUUGGAACGUUGAAAGUAUUAACUUCUUGAUGUCAAUCAAAAUGUUGAUCUUUCAAUAAAUCUUUACAGUAAUGUAAAAAUCCUACCCAAAAACUAAAAA